UACGUAGGGGCGAGCGUUACCCGGAAUCACUGGGCGUAAAGGGAGCGUACGUGGCCUGACAUGUCGACUGUGAAAACCCGGAGCUCAACUCCGGACUUGCAGUUGAAACUGCCAGGCUUGAGGACGGUAGAGGAAGACGGAACUGCCAGUGUAGGGGUAAAAUCCUUAGAUAUUGGCAGGAACGCCGGUGACGUAGGUGGUUUUCUGGGCCGGUUCUGACACUGAUGCUCGAAAGCCAGGGGAGCGAACGGGAUUAGAUACCCCGGUAGUCCCUGAGCGGGCUGGCAA
rnacentral:rRNA from 1 species